rnacentral:rRNA from 1 species
UACGUAGGGUGCGAGCGUUGUUCGGAUUUACUGGGCGUAAAGGGCGCGUAGGCGGCCGAUCAAGUCAGAUGUGAAAGUCCUGGGCUUAACCUGGGGACUGCAUUUGAUACUGAUUGGCUUGAAUUCGGGAGAGGAUAGCGGAAUUCCCAGUGUAGAGGUGAAAUUCGUAGAUAUUGGGAAGAACACCGGUGGCGAAGGCGGCUAUCUGGACCGACAUUGACGCUGAUGCGCGAAAGCGUGGGGAGCAAACAGG